GGGGCCCUUCCUGGCGAGGUGGCUGCAGCCUCUCUGCACAAGCCGAGAUCCAGUGCUGGCGGGGCGCCCCCUCCCCAGCCCAGCCCAGUCCACUCCAUCUGAACACGACUGUGAUUCCCAUUCUCUAGCAAGUACAGGUUAUUUGGAACACCUUUUAAUUUGAAAAGCAGCUCUCUGUCAGCGAACAUAUGAAUUAGAGACCAAAAUUUAUCCCAUACAACAGGAUCCUGAAAGGGCAGGAAAUGUGCAGUGCUCCCCCGAAGCCUUCAGAGUUCCAUUGAAAGACGCCAGCUUGUACAAAUUAGAUUAGGUGGCAGACCCAGAUCAUUUCCUUGGAA